UUGGGCGAAAGGUGUCGAAACGGUUAGUAGAUAUGUUCGGCGCGAGGGUAGCCGCGUCGCGCCGGUGGCGCUUCGCUGGUGCGUGUGCGCGAGAAAGAGAGAGAGAGAGAGAAAGAGAGAGAGAGAGAGAGAGAGAAGGAAAGAGAGAAGGAGAGAGUGCGAGGGAGGUUGUGAGUGAAAGAGAGUGAGAGAAGAAGAGAGGGGAACGGGAACGAGGGUAUCGCGGCCUGGCGGAGCCCAGUCGAGUCCCGUGAGUCCGGGCAAGCACGGUGCUCUGUCUCUUUUAUCGUAGGUGGUGUGGUGGUGGUGGUGGUGGUGGUGGUGGUGUGGUACGCGCGCGGUGCUGGUGUAGGCGUCGUCCGGGACAGAGAGAGAGAGAGAGAGAGAGAGAGAUCGGAGCCGCCAUCCCACGGAGGAAACGAGACGUCGUCGCCGUUUCGAAGACUUUCGGUUCGUCCGUCGUCUAGCGACACGCCUUCUUAUCGUUCUCUCGCGGCUGUCCUCUCUCUCGGCGCGCGUGUCCUCCUCUUGGUCGCUAGUCAAAUUAUCGCGACGUAUCGUAUAUUCUUCUUCUCGGAGGAAAAACGAGAAGAAGAAGAAGAAGAAGUAAAAGAAGAAGAAGAAGAGGAAGAGGAAGUGGAAGAAGGAGGGUGAAGGUCUUUGUCGAGGACAAGAGAGAGAGAGAGAGAUAGAGAGAGAGAGAAAGAUAUAUACAUAUAUAUAGAGAGAAAGAAAGAGAGAGAGAGAGAGAGAGAGAGAGGAGAGAAAUAGGAGAGAAAAAGAGGGAAAGUGAAUUUAUGAGAAUGUGAAAAUUGAUGAUAAAUUUGACGAACAUAUAGAGAGUGUCAAAAGUGACAGAGAGAUAGGAAUAAAUAGAGAUAAAGAUAGAGAUAUACAGAAAGAGAGAGAAGGAGAGAGAGAUAGAUAAUAUUAGAGUGAAAGAAAGACAGAUAGAAGAGAGAACCGGCGUGCGUAAGCACGCGUCGAAGAAAGCACAGGGGCGGCCAAGGAAGGCGCGCGAGAGCUCUGCUCUGUUAGUCGGCAGAGGAGUAGGGGGCGGCGGGGCCAAAGCUGUCACUUCGAUCGCCAUUUUAGCGUUCGAGGCGGCGAGGAGAGCGCGAGAGCCGGGCAUGCGGUGCCGACGACGGAUCGGAGCGCCCUGCUACCGGACUUAGCCACCGGAUAACACCAAACUUUCCUUUUCUUUCUUUUCUUUCGUCAAAGAAGAUAGGACAGAACACAACAAACGAAGAGGAACGAGCCCAGCCGGUACGAAAAAAAAAAAAAACAAGGAGAAUCCGGCGAGAAGGUAGAAGAUAGAAGAUCGCAGCAUCAUUGGUAAAGCGACACUGUUCCUCUUCUUUUCUCGAUCUCUUUCUCGACGAAGAGAAAAGAAGAAACGUGGAGGAAUUGAAGAAGGUUCGCUAUGCUUUUGCGCGUUUGAACGGUUCGCUCGCGCGACUCGGAACGAUAUAGUUAGAUAGAUAGCUAGAUAGGGUAGUUAGAUAGAUAGAUAGUUAGAUAGAUAGAUAGAUAGAUAGAUAGAUAGAUAGAUAGGAUAGGUAGAUAGGUAGAUAGAUUAGAUAGAUAGUCGUCGUGUCGCGUGUGUACUUGCUUUGGUGAGACGAAGAAAGAAGAAGAAGCAGAAGAAGAAAAGGAAGAGGAGAAGGAGGAAGAAAAAUAAAGAAAAGCAAAAGACGGAAAGGAGAAGCCGUGACCCCCGAGAAGAGAAGGAUAGAAAGGUCAAGUCGAGGAGGUUAAAGCCGUUGUCCUUCGAAGAUCCUCCUUGGCUACUGCGAUAGAAGAGAAUUUACGUUAACGUGAUGCCAGCAGAAUUAGACGAUCGAUUUUUGAAAAAUGAUCGUUUAUAAAGAUUUUCGGUACUGAUUCGAUCGAUCAGCUGUUCUCUUCCUUCGAUUUUGAUCAAGUUCGUAGAUUCGAUUUAAUGCAAAAGUGAAGAGAAAAAGGAGAGAAGAUAUUAGAGAUAGAUAAGGACGAAAAGAGAAAGAGAAAAAGAGAGAGAAAACAAUUUGAUUAGAAAAGAAGAGUGUAAUAAAAAGUCGAGUGGGUGUGUGUGUGCUUGUUGUGACGUCUUUGUCCUUGUCAUCGUCAUCGUCAUCGUGUCGUCGUUGUCUUCGUCUUCGUCUUUGUCUUCGUCUUCGUCGUCAUUGUUGUCGUCAUCUUCGUCGUCGUUGUCGUGUCGUCGUGACGAAGGGGUGGCAUAGAGCUUCCGGUGGAUCGAAACUCAAGAUUGGGGGGGCGUGCGAGACUGAAUUUGCCCCCCCAAACCGCACCGACUCUCCUUCCCUUCGCGUUUAACGCGAAGCAAGAAAAGCCUGCAACUCUAUCGAGUUCCUUCCAAGUGUUCCUCAUCUUCCUUGCUUCGUGAGAACUACCACGCCGUCCUUUUGGGUA